UAUUUAUGGGACUGUUUUAAUAUUCACAUUUUGUUCGAUGAAGAGCACUGACUAUAAGAAAUUACUGUCUACAGGAAGCAUGCCAGAGGAAUUGUAACCUUUUUCCCUUACCUCAGUGGCCCGUACUCCAAAAAUUGUCUGUACAUGUCACUCUCCAAGGAACAUUAUUAUGAUGGCGAGAAUGGCACUGGGUACUUGGCCUGGAGGAUUAAAGCCAUACAGAGAUGCACCGCUAAAGGGAGGCGAUUAUCAUCUGGAGCACCAGGAGAUGGAUCAUCGAGUGAAGACCAGUGUGGUGGACC